AGAGUUAAAAGUGACGCUGAGAGAAAGCUUGAGUUAGACCGAAGUAGAAUCAGGGAGAGAAAAAUAACAGCAGAAAACAAACAGAAAGGGGGACAGGGGGACAGGCUCUUCAGGGUUAUUUGGCUGGAACCAACUUCCGUUUUCCAGAAGCUGAUGAAACAAGGUAGGAGGAAUUCACCUCUUGUCUUUUAACUGCUGUAAGGUCUUGCCAUUUCUUCCCUUGCUGGGGGUGGACAUAUGGGGUAGGUAUGUUCUUGCCUCUUUUUUUAUUUUUUAUUUUUAUUUUUUUAAGUUAUAUGCGCAAUUAUUCUAAAAAUCCUUACCUUUCAGUAAACAAAUGAGCAUGCAACUCUUUCUGAUGAGUUUCCAGGAACAACUGCUUUCCAUGUAGGUAAUGGGAAGCCGGAUAAAUAAUCUAUUAUGUUCAACAGUGUGGGGUCUUGCUAGUGGAGUUUUCGAAUUCAUUCAUUCUGAACAAUUGCUGAAAAUGUUUACGGAGUGUCAUUAGUCUUGCUCGUUCCUGUUUACCUCUGUCUCGGAUAGCAGCUUAGCAGGUAGCACUGUUUGCUGUGAACUCUAGCUUCAGCUAACAUUACUUUGCAUUCCAUAUGAACGGGUUCACUCCUCACUUAUCCCUGGUCAUAGUUCGUUAUGCAUUCAGUAUAGAGAGAAAUGACAGCCAGAGGACAGAUGCCUUGAAGCUGUGAGUGGUCACAUCUACAGGAAGACAGUCGAUUGACAUUCAUCAGAAACAGGAUGGAUAUAAUUCCUAUGCUCACCUUUUGUAUGAGUAGGAAGUAUCAGGGGGUAAAAUUUAAAAGGGGGGGGGGAUUAAAUGCAUGCAGUCAGCAGUUGCAGCAUUUAUUGUCUCUGCUGCAAUAAAAUCCAUAUUUUAUGUGGUGUUAAAUUAAUGCAGCAUGUUGGCAUGUCUAAAUGGAUGUCCUCAACAAGUAACUAUUAUAGCACUGUAAGUAUGGGCCAAAGCAGUAGUCGGCAAAUGUUUCCAUGCCACCACAAUAAAAACCAAGUACCUCUUUCCCAUGUACAGGGGAGAGGCUAUAGGUAUAAUCAAAGACAAACAUUUAAAACUGACCUAUCAUCUCUUGCUUUC
rnacentral:lncRNA from 1 species